GACGAACGCUGGCGGCGUGCUUAACACAUGCAAGUCGAACGGAAAGGCCCUGCUUUUGUGGUGUGCUCGAGUGGCGAACGUGUGUGUAUCACGUGUGUAACCUGCCCUUGUCUUUGGUAUAACUUCUGGAAACUGGUGCUAAUACCGGAUAGGAUCUCCUGCUGCAUUGUGGGGUUUGUAUAUUUUCGGCGGUUGGGUAUGGACUCGCGGCUUAUCAGCUUGUUGGUGGGGUAGUGGCUUACCAAGGCUUUGACGGGUAGCCGGACUGAGAGGGCGACCGGCGACAUUGGGACUGAGAUACGGCGCAGAGUGCUACGGGAGGCAGCAGUGGGGAAUAGUGCACAAUGGGCGGAAGCCUGAUGCAGCAAAGCAGCGGGCGGGAUGACGGCCGUGGGGGUGUAAAAAGAAUUAGAAUGAGAAGAAGAGAGAGUGACGGUAAUGGGAAAAGAAGGACCGGCUAACUACGUG
rnacentral:rRNA from 1 species